rnacentral:rRNA from 1 species
UACAGGGGGGGCAAGCGUUGUUCGGAAUUACUGGGCGUAAAGGGCUCGUAGGCGGCCAACUAAGUCACACGUGAAAUCCCCAGGCUUAACCUGGGAACUGCGUGUGAUACUGGAUGGCUUGAAUUUGGGAGAGGGAUGCAGAAUUCCAGGUGUAGCGGUGAAAUGCGUAGAUAUCUGGAGGAAUACCGGUGGCGAAGGCGGCAUCCUGGACCGACAUUGACGCUGAGGAGCGAAAGCUAGGGGAGCAAACGGG